UAAAAAUACAUGCAAUUUUAUAAACAUCCUGCAAUUUCGUUUUAGUUCCGUUCAAGGUAGAUAAGCUAAAUUCAAUAACUUAUUUACUUAAUCGCUAGUAAAGUGAAGCUUGUAUUAUAAAAUAAAUGUAUAGUAUACACUCGCGUACACAUAACUUGUAAACGGUAUGUAACUUACAAGAACGAUUAGGAUUUCAAAUAAUUAAAAUGUCAAUACUAUGAGAAUAGUUUACUAUAUGUACAUGUAUAUUGUAUACGUGUACGUAAUACGAGGUUAGGCAUUAUUUCAAAGUUUUGUCAUUAGGUUCUAGAUAAUUGUCAAAUAGGUAAUCUGAUCAAUGUAAUAGGAAAUUAAUCAAUUCCAUGCUAAAUUACGAUGUGCCUCUUGCAAGUCAGAGCCAAGGUAUUUUUAGAGUACGUAGACAUACGUGUCUUUUUUCCAAGGUCUAAUCUUGUGUGUGUGCAAAAGAUAAAUUUUAUCGUGUGAAAUACUGUUCAAGUUAAAAAGUACACAAUCAAACAGGUAAACAUUGGCGUGAUAAAGAAUGCAUCUUCUCCCGUAAAUGUAAAAAGCUUUUUAAUUAUGACAAAAUUUCUUAAAAUUAUAGAAGAAGAAAAUGUAUAGAAUAAAAGGAUAAAAUGGAUCUAUUAAUAAGGUAUAUAUUCGCACUAGUAAUUCCCUUUCAAAUAUGAUUCACACUUUUACACUUUUAAUAUACAUUAAAACACAAG